AGCUUGUUGGUGAGGUAACGGCUUACCAAGGCUACGACGCGUAGCGGGUCUGAGAGGACGACCCGUCACAUUGGGACUGAGAUACUGCCCAGACUCCUACGGGAGGCUGCAGUGGGGAAUAUUGCGCAAUGGCCGAAAGGUUGACGCAGCGACGCCGCGUGUGGG
rnacentral:rRNA from 1 species